UAAAGGAAGCGAUUCCGGCUACGGAUGGUCAUGCGUCGCAUUAGCUAGUUGGCGGGGUAACGGCCCACCAAGGCGACGAUGCGUAGGGGUUCUGAGAGGAAGGUCCCCCACACUGGUACUGAGACACGGACCAGACUCCUACGGGAGGCAGCAGUGAGGAAUAUUGGUCAAUGGCCGCAGGGCUAAACCAGCCAAGUCGCGUGAGGGAUGACGGUCCUAUGGAUUGUAAACCUCUUUUGUCAGGGAGCAAAGGGCGCCACGUGUGGCGCUUUGCGAGUACCUGAAGAAAAAGCAUCGGCUAACUCCGUGCCAGCAGCCGCGGUAAUACGGAGGAUGCGAGCGUUAUCCGGAUUUAUUGGGUUUAAAGGGUGCGCAGGCGGAAUGUCAAGUCAGCGGUAAAAUUUCGGGGCUCAACCCCGUCGUGCCGUUGAAACUGGCGUUCUUGAGUGAGCGAGAAGUAUGCGGAAUGCGUGGUGUAGCGGUGAAAUGCAUAGAUAUCACGCAGAACUCCGAUUGCGAAGGCAGCAUACCGGCGCUCAACUGACGCUCAUGCACGAAAGCGUGGGUAUCGAACAGGAUUAGAUACCCUGGUAGUCCACGCAGUAAACGA
rnacentral:rRNA from 1 species